rnacentral:rRNA from 1 species
GUCGAACGAUGAAACUUAGCUGAUUUCUUCGGAAUGAAAUUAAGUGGAUUAGUGGCGAACGGGUGAGUAACACGUGAGUAACCUGCCUUACACAAGGGGAUAGCCUUUGGAAACGAAGAAUAAUACCCUAUAAAGUCAAAAUAUCGCAUGAUAAAGUGACCAAAGAUCUAUCGGUGUAAGAUGGACUUGCGUCUGAUUAGCUAGUUGGUGAGAUAAAAGCCCACCAAGGCGACGAUCAGUAGCCGGCUUGAGAGAGUGUACGGCCACAUUGGGACUGAGACACGGCCCAAACUCCUACGGGAGGCAGCAGUGGGGAAUUUUGCACAAUGGGGGAAACCCUGAUGCAGCGACGCCGCGUGAUUUAGAAGGCCUUCGGGUUGUAAAAAUCUUUUUUAUGGGAUGAAAAUGACAGUACCAUAAGAAUAAGGUCCGGCUAAAUACGUGCCAGCAGCCGCGGUAAUACGUAUGGACCGAGCGUUGUCCGGAAUCAUUGGGCGUAAAGGGUACGUAGGCGGCCUAGUAAGUUAGAAGUGAAAUAAUAUAGCUCAACUAUAUAAAGCUUUUAAAACUGUUAGGCUUGAGAGAUGAAAGGGAAAGUGGAAUUCCUAGUGUAGCGGUGAUAUGCGCAGAUAUUAGGAAGAUACCGGUGGCGAAGGCGACUUUCUGGUCAUCAUCUG